GCCUGGUUGGCUCAGCUGGAGGAGCAUGUGGCUCUUGAGCUUGGGGUUGUGAGUUCGAGUCCCACACUGGGUG
rnacentral:tRNA from 1 species